GGCCUCGUAGCUCAGAUGGUAGAGAGUGCGCUGUACAAAAGUAUAGGUGGCGUCCAUGCGUGGGUUCGAAUCCCACCGAAGUCA
rnacentral:tRNA from 1 species